rnacentral:rRNA from 1 species
CACAUGCAAGUCGAGGGGCAGCAUGAUUUGUAGCAAUACAGAUUGAUGGCGACCGGCGCACGGGUGAGUAACGCGUAUGCAACUUACCUAUCAGAGGGGGAUAGCCCGGCGAAAGUCGGAUUAAUACCCCAUAAAACAGGGGUCCCGCAUGGGAAUAUUUGUUAAAGAUUCAUCGCUGAUAGAUAGGCAUGCGUUCCAUUAGGCAGUUGGCGGGGUAACGGCCCACCAAACCGACGAUGGAUAGGGGUUCUGAGAGGAAGGUCCCCCACAUUGGUACUGAGACACGGACCAAACUCCUACGGGAGGCAGCAGUGAGGAAUAUUGGUCAAUGGCCGAGAGGCUGAACCAGCCAAGUCGCGUGAAGGAAGAAGGAUCUAUGGUUUGUAAACUUCUUUUAUAGGGGAAUAAAGUGGAGGACGUGUCCUUUUUUGUAUGUACCCUAUGAAUAAGCAUCGGCUAACUCCGUGCCAGCAGCCGCGGUAAUACGGAGGAUGCGAGCGUUAUCCGGAUUUAUUGGGUUUAAAGGGUGCGCAGGUGGUGAUUUAAGUCAGCGGUGAAAGUUUGUGGCUCAACCAUAAAAUUGCCGUUGAAACUGGGUUACUUGAGUGUGUUUGAGGUAGGCGGAAUGCGUGGUGUAGCGGUGAAAUGCAUAGAUAUCACGCAGAACUCCGAUUGCGAAGGCAGCUUACUAAACCAUAACUGACACUGAAGCACGAAAGCGUGGGGAUCAAACAGGAUUAGAUACCCUGGUAGUCCACGCAGUAAACGAUGAUUACUAGGAGUUUGCGAUACAAUGUAAGCUCUACAGCGAAAGCGUUAAGUAAUCCACCUGGGGAGUACGCCGGCAACGGUGAAACUCAAAGGAAUUGACGGGGGCCCGCACAAGCGGAGGAACAUGUGGUUUAAUUCGAUGAUACGCGAGGAACCUUACCC